GGUGGAGAGGAUGAUUGAACUGAGAGUGGCCGAUACAGCCGUACAGGAGUGGAGCAAUCAGGCUGCAUUUACUGCUGAUUUGCUGAGGGCUCUCCGUGAUGAUGCAUGGAGGAACAUCGUUCCAGGGCUUCCUGCAGUUGUGCUUCGAUGCACUUGCAAGCUUUCUAAUGCAGUCGCCACGGGGACUAUCUUGGCCACCAGACAGGUUAGAAAGAAGAUCGUGAAAGAUUGGCUUCCAGUGUUGAUUUUGUGCAAAGACUAUGUAACACCGAUGAUGCCAAGUCACAAAACAAUAUAUGUGGAGCUGGAAGACACGUUUUUGAGUAUUAUAUCCACGCUUCCCUUGUCUGAUGCCCAGGAGCUAUUGCAACAGUGUCUCAGCUUUUCAACUAGAAAUGUUGAAGACUGUCCUCACUUAAUAAGCGCGUUUACCACCUGGUUCCGACGAGCAAAUAGAUUCCCCCUACCAGAUAUGUGAUUGGCUCGGUGGAUAAGCAUGAGGACAGUUUGGUGGCUAAUGUCCAUACUAGUAUCUCCAUUGUAAGAGACACUGCUAUUUGUACAUAAAACGUGUUGUCUCACCUUUGUACCAGAAGUUACGUGGGUUUGUUACUUGGUGUUGUGCAGUAUCCUCGACUGUAAGCAUUGGUUAUUAAGAGAAUGACCAGCAUGUACAUAAGACGUUGUGGCGUAUGAAAUCUGCCCCUUUUAUGUCUUUUAAUAGCAUUUCUUUCUCUCUUUCAUUCAGGGAGGUAGAAAUUGGCUUCCCCUAUCAUCAGGCUUGUUUUUUG
rnacentral:misc_RNA from 1 species